rnacentral:lncRNA from 1 species
AUGCAAUCGCUGCAGCGCUGCGGGAGAGGGACCUUCGCCCCGGGCUGGUUCUUAGCCCAGGGCGUUCUGGGACUCCGCUCCGGACUCUGCGCUGCACAGGGCGGCUGUGAGCCCUCCUCUCCCCAGGUCCUGCUGAUGUGCUUCAAGAGCUGCUGGGACGGCGCCUUCCAGGUCACCGAGCAGCUCGGCACAGCCCUGCAGCUUAGACUAGAGAGGAGUGAGGAGGAGGAGGAUGUGGACUCAGAUUCUGCAUGGGAGCCUGGACAGACAGUGGUGGGGCAGCAGUGGCAUGGUGAUGCCAGCGAGGCCGUGCUGCGGAGGCUGGAGGCUCUGGAGGCCGAUGUCCGCUUCCUCUGCACCGAGCUGGGCGCUGAGAAGCUUCUGUGGAGCAGCCGCUUCCUGGAGCUGCUGCGGGAGCAGCAAAGCCUGCGCCAGCGGCUGCAGGAGCUGCCGUGGCAGUGGAACAGUGGUGACAGCCCCGAGCUGCUAGGGGAAGCCGAGGAUCAAAGUGCCAGUGGGAGUGAGGGAGAGAGCCCAGAAGGAUGUCAGUGGAUGGAAGCACCUCGGCAACCACGUGGCUCCAUCCAGCGUGACAGGCAGAAAAUGCAUGCGGUCAUAGCUGGAGCAGAAUGUGCUGUGAGCACACCACCAGUACUUCCAAAGGAAUAA